GCCGGUGUAGCUCAACGGUAGAGCGCGGCUUUCGUAAAGCCGAGGUUUUGGGUUCGAAUCCCACCACCGGCU
rfam:Planctomycetes bacterium GWF2_41_51 gwf2_scaffold_3342, whole genome shotgun sequence.